GCCUCCACCGUCUUGGCGCCAUCAUCGUCUACGGCUUUCGCUUUUUCAGCUACCUCUGUUUCCACUACAACCACUUCGGCCGCAGGAGCAUCGGCUGGUGGUGGUGGAGGAGGAGUAUUCUCUUCUUCCUUGACUUCAACAGCGGCGGGUGCAUCCGUUUCUACCUUGGGUUCUUCUGAAAUUGCAGCAGCAGGUGUCUCUUCCUCUUUUUCUUCUUUUUUCUCUUCCUUGUUUUCUUCUUCUUCUUUCUUUGGCUCAGGCUCAGGCUCAGCUACAGGUUUUUCUUCUGCUUUGGGUUUGGCAGUGAACUCGUGGUUGUUAAGGGCUUCUUGAAUAAGCUGCUUAAGCUCAUCAAGGGCCUUCUUUUGAGGCUCAGGAAGUUCACCAGCGAUAUUAGUUUCCUCUUUGAAAGAAACAGACUGGGUUAUCUUAGUUUCUUCCUUUUCUUCAACCUUGGGCUUCUCAACUUCAACAGCUUCUUCUUCAACAGCAACAACAGCCGGCUUCUCGGGCACCUCAGGUUCCGGCAGGGGAGCAGGUGCGGAGGGUUGUGGCUCUUUCUCAGUAACUUGAGGCUUCUCGACAACCACAGACACCUCCUGGGCGGGGGCAGCAGGUGCAGAUUCAGAGUCAAGAGUCUCCUGGGCCAUGGGUAAGUAAGAGAGGAAGAAUGAAAGUUGUAAGAAAGGGAGAAGAAUGAAGAGGGGGCUUAAAAAUGGAAGAAACAAGAGUGUGAGAGUGGAAUGACAGCUAGCUUAUCUUAUAGGAGUGAGUUAAGGAGUGGACCCCCGACAUUGUUCCUCUUCCAUUUCCAAACCGCUAUCUUUGCCACUUCUUAUGCGCUGCCAUUUUCCCUUUUUUUCACUAAUUUUCAUUUUUUUUUUCUGUUCAAUCUUGGCGUUACAUCUGCGCUUAUUUUGGUAAUCAAUCCCUACAUACGGUUAAGUUUCAAGUCCAAAUACAUUCAGCUCAAUAUUUUAAUUAAAAAAUUACUCUUGCGUAUAACAUUUUUUACUGUCAAUUACAAAUAGAUUUUUUUACUCAAAAAAAUCUACGUGUAGUGUGUCAGCCAAUAAUGGAAGAACAAAAAUACUAAUAAUAGAGGGGAUUUCUUGUCACACCUCUGGCAUACCUUUAUUUAUUUUCACUAUCCAUUUAAAAUUAUCAUUUUUAUUUAAAUUUAAAUAAGUUGAGGUGGAAAAUAAAAAUAAAAAAAUUUUGAGGUGACCCACUUAUGACACAAGGAGUUGUAAUUAUUUUGUUUAUAAAGUUGAAAGUUAUCAAGAUUUGAAUUUUAAACAUUGUGCUUAAUUUGUUGAAAUUAAUUCAAACUAAAACAGGAAAAAUGAGAGUGAAGCCACCUCAUCGUGAGGUAUGCAAUUUGCAAAUCUUACUUGGGAUUUAAAAUUCUAAUUACAAAGAUUAUUUCCUUUCACCCUUGCCUUUUCUACCAAAAAAAAAUAAUAUUAUAUUACCAAAUUUAAAAUUAUAUUCCUUAAGCACAUCACAAAUAUAUUUAUAUAUUUAUUUUUAGUUUAAAUUAAUAAAUCAUUUCUUGUUUGGUUAUAUUUUAACAUUUUUAUCUAAAUUAACAUCUAUGUCAAAAUUAAAUAAUAUUAAAAAUUAUUAACUCUUUAUAAAAUCAUAUUGCAUCCAAAUAUUUUUAUUUUAAAAAAUAAUAACUGAUUGUUAAUAUCUAGAAAACGAAUUUUAAAAAAGAUUUCAAAAAAAAAAAAGAAUGAUAAUUUUUUUUUAAUUUCUUAAAAAUAAAUUUAAAAUUAGAAACUUCAGAGUCCAAAAAUGAUCUCUUAUUUCCUAUUUUUAUAUUAUUUUAGGAUUAAUAAAUUUUUAUUUGAUUAUGGGAUCUGUUUUAGUGUAGAUAUAAAGAAGAUCGGAAGU
rnacentral:lncRNA from 1 species